UACGUAGGGAGCAAGCGUUGUCCGGAAUCAUUGGGCGUAAAGCGCGCGUAGGUGGCUUCGUAAGUCCGUUGUGAAAGUCAAAGGCUCAACCUUUGAAAGCCGAUGGAUACUGCGGAGCUAGAGUACGGAAGAGGCGAGUGGAAUUCCUGGUGGUAGCGGUGGAAUGCGCAGAUAUCAGGAGGAACACCAAUAGCGAAGGCAGCUCGCUGGGACGUUAACUGACACUGAGGCGCGAAAGCGUGGGGAGCGAACAGGGA
rnacentral:rRNA from 1 species